AUGCUCACUUCAGCAGCACCGAUACCAAAAUUGGAACGAUACAGAGAAGGUUAGCAUGGCCCCUGCACAAGGAUGACACGCAAAUUCAUGAAGGGUUCCAUAUUUUU